GAUCUGUGCAGAAAGCAAGCCAGAGAGACAUGGAAAAUUUUAUUGAAAGAAACUUCUGGGCGGAUUUAGAGAAAGUUUAUGAACAAGUAAUAGUUUACAUGGAGGAGAAAAUUUUUCUCUGUCUACUGAUAUGCAAGCUUCUAACCAAACCUCCCAAAAUCUAAAAAGAAGCACAAGAAGAAGAAGAAGAAAAAGCUACCUCCAGCUGGAGGAUUAGUGCAUCUUUAAUAUCGUUCUCCAGCCAAGACCAUCACUGAAUAGUGCUUAGCAACAUUUUCAUUUAUUGACCAUAAAAAUCUUUCUUCUCUGAGGAAACUUGAGCAAUGCUGGUAACAGUGGCCUGGAGACCAAAUAGAGAACCAUUUUGUGUGAAUUUAAAG